rnacentral:rRNA from 1 species
GAUGAACGCUGGCGGCGUGCCUAAUACAUGCAAGUCGAGCGAACAGACGAGGAGCUUGCUCCUCUGACGUUAGCGGCGGACGGGUGAGUAACACGUGGAUAACCUACCUAUAAGACUGGGAUAACUUCGGGAAACCGGAGCUAAUACCGGAUAAUAUAUUGAACCGCAUGGUUCAAUAGUGAAAGACGGUUUUGCUGUCACUUAUAGAUGGAUCCGCGCCGCAUUAGCUAGUUGGUAAGGUAACGGCUUACCAAGGCAACGAUGCGUAGCCGACCUGAGAGGGUGAUCGGCCACACUGGAACUGAGACACGGUCCAGACUCCGACGGGAGGAAGCAGUAGGGAAUCUUACGCAAUGGGCGAAAGCGUGACGGAGCAACGCCGCGUGAGUGCUGAAGGUCUUCGGAUCGUAAAACUCUGUUAUUAGGGAAGAACAAAUGUGUAAGUAACUAUGCACGUCUUGACGGUACCUAAUCAGAAAGCCACGGCUAACUACGUG